AGCAUAUCAAUAAGCGGAGGAAAAGAAACCAACAGGGAUUGCCUCAGUAACGGCGAGUGAAGCGGCAAAAGCUCAAAUUUGAAAUCUGGCUCUUUUAGGGUCCGAGUUGUAAUUUGUAGAAGAUGUUUCGGGUGUGGCUCCGGUUUAAGUUCUUUGGAAUAUUACAUCAUAGAGGGUGAGAAUCCCGUAUGUGACCGGCAGCCUUCGCCUAUGUGAAACUCUUUCGACGAGUCGAGUUGUUUGGGAAUGCAGCUCAAAAUGGGAGGUAUAUUUCUUCUAAAGCUAAAUAUUGGCCAGAGACCGAUAGCGCACAAGUAGAGUGAUCGAAAGAUGAAAAGCACUUUGGAAAGAGAGUUAAACAGUACGUGAAAUUGUUGAAAGGGAAGCGCUUGCAACCAGACUUGCACGCAGUUGAUCAUCCGGUGUUCUCACCGGGGCACUCUGCUGCGUUCAGGCCAGCAUCGGUUUUGGUGGUUGGAUAAAGGCCUUGGGAAUGUGGCUUCCUUCGGGGAGUGUUAUAGCCCUCGGUGCAAUGCAGCCUACCGGGACCGAGGACCGCGCUUCGGCUAGGAUGCUGGCGUAAUGGUUGUAAGCGACCCG
rnacentral:rRNA from 1 species